AUAGCUGCCCAGCAGUAUGCCUUUGAGUGAGCAUUCAAGAGUCUCCAAAGAACACUGUUUGUUUUUUUUUGUAGUCUUGCUGUGGGGGGAAGAAUUCUCCACACAACUCAAUCUUGCCAAGGGCCACAAUUUCUCUCUUUUUUAUGCCCUGCAAUAUAAAGUCAGCUCAUGAUCUACUUUUCAGCCAUAGCUGACAGCACCUGGGUCCCUCUGUCUCCACCAGACACCGGGACCAUUGGCUAUGAGUUAAGCCUCUGACACACUACGCCCAGCUUAACUGCUGGUAAUGAGAAAGGAAGAGUCACACCACAGUCAAAUAAUGUACUCCUGGAUGGAACUGAACCUACAAAGGAUGUUUGGAGUCAUGUGGUUUUAGCACGGAGACAAGAAAGAAAGAAAGACAACAUCAUGCUUUGCUGUCUGUGCGUGAACUGAGUAACAGCUGUGAAGGAUCAGUCACCAAAAGACUUUGAAAGAAGAGGCUUGAUUGGUCACGGUAAUGAUGCUCCUCUGGCUUUGGCCAAAAAAGAGUGCAGUUCUGUGAUGAAUAUCAGCUUCAUCAACAUGUCCCAGGCACCGUGAUGUUCCUCCUCUGCUCUGCUACGUAACAGAGUGGAGACCAAAUCCAACAGUAUGAACAACCAUCCAUCAAAACCACAGUUCUAUUAUUGAGACAAUUUCUGAUUGAAUUUCCUCAGCAGACUAUCCAAGUCGUCAUGUUCAUCAAGUCAUCUUUUCUAAAACUCUUCUAAUGGUGGCUCUAAAUAUCAGUUGGACUGGUACUGAAGAAAAAACAGGACAAAAAGGCCAGAAGGGGUUACUGAAGUCAGUAGCACCUUGGGAUCUACAUCUCCAUGCUGUGGAAGGAGGGGAAUGGCUGCCUCCUAGAUGGGAACCACUGGAUUAAGUUACUAUCAGGCUGCUCCGGAAGCAACAAAGUGACUUUGAGUAAAAGUAUCUUUCUGUGCUCUCAACUCAUCUCUGAUCAGGAGUGGUGUGCUGGGCAAAGCAUUGAGUUCAGAGUUAAAUUUGAAUUGGAAUAUUGUGAAAACGUUUCUACCACCUUGUUUUUUGAGACAAGGUCUCACUGUAUCAUUUAGGAUGCAGUGCAGUAGAGGGAUCUCGGCUCACUCCAACCUUGACCUCCCAGGUUUGAGCUAUCCUCCUGCCUCAGCCCCCCAAGUGGCUGUGACUACAGGUGCACAACAUCCCUCCCAGCUAAUUUUUUGUAUUUUUUGUAAAGACGGAGUUUCACCAUGUUGCCCAGUCUGGUCUCAAACUUCUGAGCUCAAGCCAUCCUCCCACCUCAGCCUCCCAAAGUGCUAGGAUUAAAAGUGUAAGCCACUGCACCCAGCCAUCUACCAUCUUUCUUUUUCUUUGAGUCCAUGACACCAGGUCUAUGGCCUGAUAAGAUGUGUCCACCUAAUUAAGAUAUGGACACAUGCUUUUAAGUGCACCUGAAGAAGGGCAAGCAGGCACACACAGACAAAGAACUACAAGCCUCUGCUUUUGAAUUAGAGACAAUAUAUCUGCAGAUAGGAACUUGGAAGAGAGCUAAGGAAAAAAAAAAUCACAGGUUAAACCAAAUAAAUAGAGGUUUUCAGGGUUGCCGUAACCAAAUUUUUCUAAGAUUAUAAACUCCUAGAGGGCAGAGACCAUAUCGCUUUACUUAGUUUUAAACCAGAAAGCAUGAAACUAUGUAGAGUUAGGUAGUUGAGAACUUAUUUGGAUGACAAUGACAGUAAUGACAAGAUAGUUGAAACUGUUAAACCCAAAUGAAAUUAUGGCUUAAGCAAUUUAAUCAUUUUCUUGGAGCAAAAUGAGAUUGGUUGAUACAUAAAUGGAUAAUGACAGACUGAAUACUGGAAACUAGACUGUUAGGCACCGCAGGAAUAUUGAACUUAAGUAAAAAGCCAGUCUUUCCUCUCCCAUCAACAGAGACAGAUCAAAUAGUGACUAGACCCUCAGAUGAAAUCAGAGAUUCCAUAUCUUUCUCCUUCUUUUCUUGCAAAAGGAAUAUGACCAAAAUUUUAUCAAUUUUACCUAGUUAAAAAAUAAUGUAGCCUAAUAUCAAUUAUUAAAAAAUAAUGUAGCCUAACGCAUCAAUUACCUUUCAAAAUAUUGGCCUUAAAGAACCUAGUUUUUUAAACUGAAUUCCUAUAUUUUAUAUAGGAAUGUUGUAUAUAUUACAACUGAAUUCCUAUAUUUUCUCAUGAAAAAAUUAUAUUGCUUCACGUGUAAACAGUGUAAUUGCAAACUAUUCUGAAGCUUACUCUAUAACCUUAAAGAAAUUGACUUUACAGAAAAUUUUCUAAUAAUAUAAAUAUUAGUCAUAGAUACAUUUUUCACUUGAUAAUUAUUUUUCUUUGACAUAAAGGUCAAUAUUUUUCAAUGUUGUAGUCAUCAAUUUCAAAGGAAAUAUUUGUGUGCUGCUUCCUGUUUCUGUUCUAAGCAGCCAAUGGGCCAACACAGCAGCUGGCUAUGAGGUGAACACAAACUAACAUCUGAUGCAGUAUAUUAGCAAUUACUACAGAUUCUAGAACCAGGCAUUGGUGAGUUUUGGUCAAUGCUCAGAAAACAGGCAAUUGAGCUCUUUACAGAGCUUUCCAUUUUUGAGUUCUUGCCAGAGAUAGGUUUUGCUGGAAAAAAAACAAGUCAUACUGACUUCAUGAAAGAGGGAAAGAAAAUCUUAAAUAUGUGAGUAUUUAUAGAAUCUUUCAUAUGCGUCUCUACAUACGGUCUAUGUGUAUAUGCAUGUGAGAAAAGAUUCCUGGUGUUUCUCAAGUUAGUCUUGGUUUUGAGAGUUUCUAAAAACAAGAAGACCGAUCUUGAGAAUUAAACAAAAAGUAUUAUCUUAUCAUAAAAUUCUAUUCUCUAUUAUCCAGAAAUCCAUUACAUAAUACACAGAACUCUGCCUUCAUCAAAUCUGUGGAAUAGUCUAUGGAAUUCUAUCUCCAACGAUGAAUCUGUGAGGUUUCAAAGGCACUGUGUCAGAAUUAUAUAAAACAUUUGCUGAAAAAAAUAUCAGGGAGUUCAUCAAACUUAACCAGUUAUUCAGCACUUAAAAAGCACCCAGAAUACCUAAACUAACCCUUAAAAAUCAAAUUAUAUCAAAAGGUUUUAGAAGUGUCAUAACUUCAGGUACAUGUCUAAUGAGACAAUAUUUAAAUAUCCAAAUAACACAUACUAACCUUAAAUAAAUCCAUCUCAGUAAUAUUAUUUAAAAAUUAACCAGAAAAACAUACCCUUCACUCUAGGUCAUCUGGAGAGCUCAGUAGCCUUCUUACUGAGAUAAAUUUUCAGAAGUCAUUAAUAACAAUCUCUUAUCUAACUGAGAAGGA